AUACACAGCUAUAGCACCCUGAAAACACCCGAUCCUAUCUGACCUGGGAAGCUAAGCAGGGUCGGGCUCGGUCAGUACUUGGAUGGGAGACCAGCUGGCAAUAGAGGGCGCUGUGGGCU
rnacentral:rRNA from 1 species